CUGCAGCCCGACUUGAGUGGAGCUCUUUUUUGGAUUGGGAAAAGCCUUGGCAAAAAAAGCGGGAACGGAAGGCGGAAAAGCU
rnacentral:ncRNA from 2 species